GACGAACGCUGGCGGCGCGCCUAACACAUGCAAGUCGAGCGAUGAAGAGAAGACAGAAGCCCUCGGGCAGACGUCAUCUUGGAUUAGCGGCGGACGGGUGAGUAACAGGUGAGUAACCUACCUUUGACACAGGGAUAGCCUCGGGAAACCGGGAUUAAUACCUGAUGAUAUUACACUUUCGCAUGAAAGAGUAAUCAAAGAACUUCGGUCAGAGAUGGACUCGCCGCUGAUUAGCUAGUUGGUGAGAUAACAGCCCACCAAGGCAACGAUCAGUAGCCGGCCUGAGAGGGUGAACGGCCACAUUGGAACUGAGACACGGUCCAAACUCCUACGGGAGGCAGCAGUGGGGAAUAUUGCACAAUGGGGGGAACCCUGAUGCAGCGACGCCGCGUGAGCGAAGAAGGUAUUCGUAUCGUAAAGCUCUGUCCUAUGGGAAGAUAAUGACGGUACCAUAGGAGGAAGCUCCGGCUAACUACGUGCCAGCAGCCGCGGUAAUACGUAGGGAGCAAGCGUUGUCCGGAAUCACUGGGCGUAAAGGGUUCGCAGGCGGCAAUGCAAGUCUCGUGUGAAAGGCAAGGGCUCAACCCUUGUAAGCACAAGAAACUGCAUAGCUUGAGUAGUGGAGAGGCAAGUGGAAUUCCUAGUGUAGCGGUGAAAUGCGUAGAUAUUAGGAGGAAUACCGGUGGCGAAGGCGACUUGCUGGACACAAACUGACGCUGAGGAACGAAAGCGUGGGGAGCAAACAGGAUUAGAUACCCUGGUAGUCCACGCCGUAAACGAUGAGUGCUAGGUGUCGGGGGAGACCUCGGUGCCGCAGUAAACACAAUAAGCACUCCGCCUGGGGAGUACGUGCGCAAGCAUGAAACUCAAAGGAAUUGACGGGGACCCGCACAAGCAGCGGAGCAUGUGGUUUAAUUCGAAGCAACGCGAAGAACCUUACCAGGACUUGACAUAUAUAUGCCAUUGUUAGAGAUAACAAGUUUUCUUCGGAAACAUAUAAACAGGUGGUGCAUGGUUGUCGUCAGCUCGUGUCGUGAGAUGUUGGGUUAAGUCCCGCAACGAGCGCAACCCUUACCUUUAGUUGCCAGCAAGUAAAGUUGGGCCCUCUAAAGGGACUGCCGAUGAUAAAUCGGAGGAAGGUGGGGAUGACGUCAAAUCAUCAUGCCCUAUAUGUCCUGGGCUACACACGUGCUACAAUGGUCGGUACAGAGAGCAGCAAAAGAGCGAUCUCAAGCAAAUCUCAAAAAGCCGAUCCCAGUUCGGAUUGUUCUCUGCAACUCGAGAACAUGAAGCCGGAGUUGCUAGUAAUCGCAGAUCAGAAUGCUGCGGUGAAUGCGUUCCCGGGUCU
rnacentral:rRNA from 1 species